rnacentral:tRNA from 1 species
UCCCUGGUGGUCUAGUGGUUAAGACUCUGUGCUUCCAAUAUAGGGAGUGCUGGUUCAAUCCCUGGUGGGGGAA